UUAUGGCCACAUCACGUUGAAACACCGGUUUCUGUACGACCAACGAAGUUAAGCAACAUCGUCUGGUCAGUAUCUAGAUAGGUGACCACUUGGGAAAACCAGGUGCUGCAAG